rnacentral:lncRNA from 1 species
CACAUAUUGUGGAAAGGAGCUAUAACACCCUUCCUCAGCCAGCGGGGAGUUCCCGACCCUCAGCUCAGCUCCGCAGGCCAGCACCUACUGCGCCUGCCCAACCAAAUAAGAGGCCCAGACCAGCCAUCCAGGCCCCUCCUCAGGCUCCAGGGGCAGCACGUGGAAAGAUCUGUCAGCACUGUGGCAGAGAUCAUGGGAACCGACCAUGCUACCGCCUCAACAACACCUGUCGCAUAUGUGGCAGUGCCCAGCAUUAUGCAAGAGAAUGCCCGAGGAACCAGAAUCAAGAAAGGCCUCCUAUCUAGGGCAGAGCUUACAACCUUACCCAGCAGGAUGCCGACGCCGACCCAGAUGUGGUACAGGGUAUGUAUAUUAUCUGUGACCAUAUUACUCAUGUUUUAUUUGACACUGGUGCAUCGCACUCUUUUGUUUCACAUGUUUUUGCUUCUAAAAUUAAUGUAUCACCUGAUAAACUUGAUUCAUUGUUGUUUGUGUCUACUGCUGGGGUGAAACACUAGUAGAGAAAGUUAUCUACAGGGCUUGU